rnacentral:tRNA from 1 species
GCUCACAUGGCUCAGAGGUAGAGCACUUCCUUGGUAAGGAAGAGGUCCCGGGUUCAAUUCCCGGUGUGAGCUCCA